rnacentral:rRNA from 1 species
AAAUUGAAGAGUUUGAUCAUGGCUCAGAUUGAACGCUGGCGGCAGGCCUAACACAUGCAAGUCGAACGGUAACAGAAAGCAGCUUGCUGCUUUGCUGACGAGUGGCGGACGGGUGAGUAAUGUCUGGGAAACUGCCUGAUGGAGGGGGAUAACUACUGGAAACGGUAGCUAAUACCGCAUAACGUCGCAAGACCAAAGAGGGGGGACCUUCGGGCCUCUUGCCAUCGGAUGUGCCCAGAUGGGAUUAGCUAGUAGGUGGGGUAACGGCUCACCUAGGCGACGAUCCCUAGCUGGUCUGAGAGGAUGACCAGCCACACUGGAACUGAGACACGGUCCAGACUCCUACGGGAGGCAGCAGUGGGGAAUAUUGCACAAUGGGCGCAAGCCUGAUGCAGCCAUGCCGCGUGUAUGAAGAAGGCCUUCGGGUUGUAAAGUACUUUCAGCGGGGAGGAAGGGAGUAAAGUUAAUACCUUUGCUCAUUGACGUUACCCGCAGAAGAAGCACCGGCUAACUCCGUGCCAGCAGCCGCGGUAAUACGGAGGGUGCAAGCGUUAAUCGGAAUUACUGGGCGUAAAGCGCACGCAGGC